rnacentral:rRNA from 1 species
GAUGAACGCUAGCGGCAGGCUUAACACAUGCAAGUUGAGGGGCAGCAUGAACAAUAGCAAUAUUGUUUGAUGGCGACCAGCGCACGGGUGCGUAACACGUAUGCAAUCUACCUUAUACUGGGGCAUAACUCCGAGAAAUCGGUGCUAAUUCCCCAUAACACUACAGAGUGGCAUCACUCCAUAGUUAAAGUUCCGGCGGUAUAAGANGAGCAUGCGUCCAAUUAGCUAGUUGGUGAGGUAACGGCUCACCAAGGCUACGAUUGGGUAGGGGUUCUGAGAGGAUGACUCCCCCACACUGGUACUGAGACACGGCCCAGACUCC